ACACGACCGUACCGCAAACCGACACUGGUGCGCGAGAUGAGUAUUCUAAGGCGCUUGAGAGAACUCAGGAGAAGGAACUCGGCAAAUUGACACCGUAACUUCGGAAGAAGGUGUGCCUUUAGUAGGUGAAGUCCCUCGCGGAUGGAGCCCAAUGAGGUUGCAAAGAAUCGGUGGCUGCGACUGUUUAUUAAAAACACAGCACUCUGCAAACACGAAAGUGGACGUAUAGGGUGUGACGCCUGCCCGGUGCUGGAAGAUUAAAUGAUGGGGUGCAAGCUCUUGAUUGAAGUCCCAGUAAACGGCGGCCGUAACGAUAACGGUCCUAAGGUAGCGAAAUUCCUUGUCGGGUAAGUUCCGACCUGCACGAAUGGCGUAACGAUGGCCACACUGUCUCCUCCUGAGACUCAGCGAAGUUGAAAUGUUUGUGAUGAUGCAAUCUCCCCGCGGAAAGACGGAAAGACCCCAUGAACCUUUACUGUAGCUUUGUAUUGGACUUUGAACAGAUCUGUGUAGGAUAGGUGGGAGGCUUUGAAGCAGGGUCGCUAGAUCUUGUGGAGCCAACGUUGAAAUACCACCCUGGUGUGUUUGAGGUUCUAACCUAGGCCCGUAAUCCGGGUUGGGGACAGUGCAUGGUAGGCAGUUUGACUGGGGCGGUCUCCUCCCAAAGUGUAACGGAGGAGUUCGAAGGUACGCUAGUUACGGUCGGACAUCGUGACGAUAGUGCAAUGGCAUAAGCGUGCUUAACUGCGAGACUGACAAGUCGAGCAGAUGCGAAAGCAGGACAUAGUGAUCCGGUGGUUCUGUAUGGAAGGGCCAUCGCUCAACGGAUAAAAGGUACUCUGGGGAUAACAGGCUGAUACCGCCCAAGAGUUCAUAUCGACGGCGGUGUUUGGCACCUCGAUGUCGGCUCAUCUCAUCCUGGGGCUGUAGCCGGUCCCAAGGGUAUGGCUGUUCGCCAUUUAAAGAGGUACGUGAGCUGGGUUUAAAACGUCGUGAGACAGUUUGGUCCCUAUCUUCCGUGGGCGCUGCAGAUUUGAGGAAGCCUGCUCCUAGUACGAGAGGACCGGAGUGGACGCACCUCUGGUGUAUCGGUUGUCACGCCAGUGGCAUUGCCGAGUAGCUAUGUGCGGAAGAGAUAACCGCUGAAAGCAUCUAAGCGGGAAACUCGUUUCAAGAUGAGAUCUGCCGGGGCCUUGAGCCCCCUGAAGAGUCGUUCAAGACCAGGACGUUGAUAGGUCGGGUGUGGAAGCGCAGUAAUGCGUUAAGCUAACCGAUACUAAUUGCUCGUGCGGCUUGACCCU
rnacentral:rRNA from 1 species